rnacentral:rRNA from 1 species
CACGGGGGGAGCAAGCGUUGUUCGGAAUCACUGGGCGUAAAGGGCGUGUAGGCGGUCACGUAAGUGGGAUGUGAAAUCCCCCGGCUCACCCGGGGACCUGCAUCCCAAACUGCUUGGCUUGAGUACGGGAGAGGAUGGAGGAAUUCCUGGUGUAGCGGUGAAAUGCGUAGAUAUCAGGAGGAACACCGGUGGCGAAGGCGUCCAUCUGGCCCGAUACUGACGCUGAGGCGCGAAAGCUAGGGGAGCGAACGGG